CUUAAGUACAUACGCAUACCUACAUGCAUAUGUAUGUAUGUAUGUUGUAUGCAAACAUGCAGUUUUGUACACUUUGGCGUAUACGUAACAAGAAACUGUUUCUGGACGACCCUGAAUUGAAGGAUGAGCUCCCCAUCUCGUACAUGUCACCUAAGGAACUGUACGAGCACAGCGUACGCAAAGCCGUAAUUAUUGCGAAAAAGUUGCGCGAACUACGUGCUGAUGGCGAAGACGACGUGGAUACUUAUACUGCACUUUUUGGCGGCGCACUUGGCUCGGCGCUGAUUAAGGAGGGCAAUCCGAUGAUGCUGCACUUUGUCAUGUUCGUACCAACGAUAAUGGGUCAAGGUACGGUGGAACAACAGAUUGAAUGGCUGACUAAAGCCUGGGAUUGCAAUAUACUCGGUACAUAUGCACAGACUGAGCUGGGUCACGGCACGUUUUUGCGCGGUUUGGAAACGCGUGCCGAAUACGAUGCCACCACACAAGAGUUCGUUUUGAAUACGCCCACAAUUAGCGCCUACAAAUGGUGGCCGGGUGGUAUGGGGCACACUGCCAACCAUGCCAUAGUCGUGGCGCAACUCUACACCAAAGGCGUGUUUCGUGGGCUGGCGCCAUUCAUUGUGCAACUGCGUGAUUUGGAAACACAUAUGCCUAUGCGGGGCAUAGAUGUUGGUGAUAUUGGGCCUAAAAUCGGCAUGAAGUCGGUCAAUAACGGCUAUUUGGGUUUAAAAAAUGUGCGUGUGCCUUUGAACAACAUGCUGAUGAAGAAUCAACAAGUUUUACCCGAUGGUACUUAUGUAGCGCCGAAGAAUAGCGUACUCACUUACGGCACUAUGAUGUUUGUACGCGUGGCGCUCAUACGCGAUCUGUCGCAAACAUUGGCGAAGGCUUCAACAAUUGCCAUGCGUUACUCGGCGGUGCGGCGUCAAAGUCCCAUAGACCCCAACAAGCCCGAGCCACAAAUUAUCGAGCAUACCACGCAGCAAUUGAAAGUCUUUCCGCAAAUCGCAAAGGCCAUCAUCUUCAAAAUAACAGGCGAACACAUAUGGAACAUGUUCAACAAUGUCACUGGCGAGUUGGAGCAAGGCAACAUGGACCGCUUGCCGGAAAUGCAUGCGCUGUCCUGUUGCCUGAAAGCCAUUACAAGCGCAGACUCCGCGGCGGCGGUGGAAGUGUGUCGCUUAUCUUGCGGUGGACAUGGCUAUAUGGAUUGCUCUAAUUUUCCCACAAUAUACGGCAUGACCACAGCUGUUUGCACAUAUGAAGGCGAGAAUACCGUUAUGUUGCUGCAGACAGCACGUUAUCUGGUCAAAGUGUACGCGCAGGCUCUGAGUGGUGAACCGUUAGUGCCGACGGUGCAAUAUAUUAGUGAUUACAUAAAGAAUAGAGAAUUCGGCGCAUUCGAUUGUACGCUGGAGCAAAUUGUACAUGCUUUCCAAUUCGUGGCUGCGAACAAGGUGCGCAUUGCCUACGAACGCAUGGAGAAUCACCGCCGGCAAGGCCAUGAACCCGAAACGGCGGCCAAUUUGGUGGGCAUUGAGCUGACACAAGCCGCUGAUCUUCACGGACGCGCUUUUCUUGCACAAACCGCGUACAGUGGGCUGAAUCAGCUCAUACGUCAAGUUUCACCCGCGUUGGGUGCCGUGUUCCAAACGAUUUUAGAAUUAUAUUUGCUGGAUGCCUGUUUGGGUCGCAUGGGCGACUUGUUACGCUUCAUUAAUCUAACCGAUGGCGAUGUCAGCAAAUUGGAGCUGCGUCUGGCCGAAUGCCUUAAGCGUUUGCGUCCCAAUGCUGUGGCACUUGUCGAUAGCUUCGAUGUGCACGAUCGUGUUUUAGACUCAGCUUUGGGCGCAGCCGAUGGCCGCGUUUACGAACGUAUCUUUGAGUCGGUCAAAAAGAAUCCCAUGAACAAGGAACCAGUGAAUAAAACAUUCCAUCAGUAUUUGAAGCCUUUCAUGAAGGCGAAUUUGUAGUUGUGUGGUUGUUGUGUGACGUAUGCGCAUGCGCGUAUACACGUUUAUGCGUGCUUUUGUUAAAUCUUGUAUUGUAAAUAUUUUAUUCAUACGAAAUGGAAUGCAAAUAAAAUUUUAAGCUUAAGUGAGUCGAAAAUCUGCGCGAAACAUGGUGUCGGACAUAAGAAAAAUCGCAGAGCGUACACAAUUUGGCGCUGGUGCAAAAAUCGACGAAGAACACUGUUGUUAACUCGGUAGGCAGCUUUGGACUGAUUUGAGUUUUGUUCGUACGCACAAUAAAGCAGAUCUCCGAAAGGCCAAACACCAUUUUCAGUCAUUAGAAGUGCUGUAUCCACACUUGCUUGGUUCAAAGAAUUGUUCAAAUUCUUCAAAAUCCGAACCUGUCGUGUCUACAUAACCUCAAAUCACCGUAUUACACACAUGUACACAACAUAAUAUCACCACAAUAAUCAGAAAAGUUCCAGGGGAUAUUUUUAACUGCAAUGCCGUGCCGAAAAACAGAGUAAAUUAUUCUAAAUUCAAACAGUCGUAUGUACAUAACCUCAAAUCACCGUGCUACACACGUUUACACAACACAAAAUCAUCGCAGAAAUAAGAAAUGUUCACUGGGAUAUUUUUAUCUACGAUUCCGUACCAAAAAUGAUUCCAAAAUAAAAAUUUGUGAGUCUACAUAACCUCAAUUAUCUGCUAUUGCGAGAAUUGGUAUUUUGUCGGAAACAACGAAUGCUUGAAACUCCAGCAAGCUGAUGAAAACUCUUGUGUCUACACAUUUAUGGCAAAAAUAUCGUUAAAAUCCUACGAAAAGCAGCACAAUUGGAACUACAUAACCUCAAACACUUACAAUGGUACAACACAACAUAAUCACAAAAACUAAAAUACUCAGUGAGAUAAUUGUAACCGAGUUUGCCUGCCAACAAAUUAUUCAAAGUUCAAAAUUUUCAAAGCUACAUAACCUCAAUAUGCUGAUUUUUCAUAGUCACAGUAAAUCAAGCAGUAUCAAAUACAAUGUGUACAAAAAAGUCAAAAAGCAGUUUGGAAGACUUGUUCACACUUCCAAAGAUGAAAAAUCAGGGCGACGUAGCGCUGUCGGGUCUAAAUAACCUACCACAUAUGAACUGCCAUAUAUUGGAGCAACAAAGCAGCAACACAAGAAGCAGAAAACUUAGUGAGAUAACUGUAUUGAAAAAAUUAAAUUAUUGAAGCUACAUAACCUCAAAUGUGAAUGUGAUUUACCGAAUAACUCCAUAAAAAUCAAGCAAUAUCGUAUACAACGAAGUCAAGAUACUCGCAGGUCGACUAAAGACCCCGGCAGACACUAUUAUAGCAGUUAUACACAACCUCAAUGACCUGGUUCUACUUAUAACUGGCCGAAGACUGCUAACUACUUUUAUAAACAGUGUUCUUCGCACAUACAACAACAAGUAUUUAAACACAAUGUUUAAAAAAAUAAUUUUAAGUGAAAUAAUUGUAAAAUUAGUGUGUAAUACUUUUAGUAUCCAGUCGCAAAACUCAUCGGACACAAAUAUUCACAAAUCCUACAAAACAUACCACCUCAAAUUAAGACUUAAUAUUAGUAACUUAGCAUAAGUUCUAGUGUUUUACGGUCGCCGAAUAUCAAACUCAUGAACUCAA
rnacentral:misc_RNA from 1 species